AUGAGGAGAAAAAGCUUGGGGUUUAAUUUAAAAGCUGUUGGACUGAAACUGGCUAGUCCUCAAGAAUGCCUGCCCAAGGUCUUAAUCCAAACCACUUCCUCACUGUCGCUUGGCCAGCACCUGACACAGCCCAUGCUCACCCCGGGCAGGCUGUGCAAACAUGUAGAGGAGGAGUACACCAGAGUGGAAGAGAAGAAACUAGAGCCCUUCGUAGGAAGUGGUUAUGAUCUGAAGAAGAAAAUUGUUUCUUACCACAGAGGAGAUUUUAUUAGCAGGGGCACAAAAGGAUAAAGCUUGGCGAACCUGAGUAGAACAUGAAGAGCUGAAAACACACAAACCAAUUGCUCCAAGAGCAAAAACUCCAACUCAGGAGAUUUUAAUUGCAUUUAAGGGCCAUCUGGGAACCACUGGAAAGCCGUGGAAAGGGAAGUAAUAUCUAACGAUGAUCGUGGCUAGAAGAAAAGCUGGAUAUCUGCAGGCUGGAGGGGCUGGUGGUGCAUAAUACUCGGCAUCUGUUUAGCUUGAUUAUGGGUUUAUUUAAGCUAAAACUGAUCAUCUGCUCACGCUCCACAGAGUUAGAGCAGGUCACUACAUCUGGAUUGGUGCCUCCCAAUGCCCCCGUUGAUGAAUUAGCAUGAAAUUAAGCCAGCCAAUGACCCCUUUCUAUGCUUAUCAUUUUUUCAUCUUUAAAACAACACAUUUACACUUCGACUCCUUCAGUGUCACUGUUGUGAUAAAAUCAAUCUGGUGGGCUGUGCAGCUUCCACAGAUUUUCCUAACAUUUCAAUUAGCAUUAUUGCUGUCCAGGAAGAGAAGGUGAGAAGCAGAGAAAACUUGUCUCUUUCAUACUUAAGGAAUAAGUCUAGCUUGGCAUAAUUCAGAGUAUAGAAUUACGUGUGUAGGAUAAAUUUUUAAUAUAUGAUAAUGUAAGUUUCUUAGUGGUUCUGAUUAAUCACUGUGGCAUAAUGAGCUUGCUUUAUUGUAUAAUUCAUGUUAUGACAUUACCAGGUGCUGGGCUCGUUAGUAAUAAAGACAGUGCUUUAAUUUCCA
rnacentral:lncRNA from 12 species